AUAGAUUAAUGAGGCUAAAUAUGUGGUCAAAAUAAAUUAUAUUUUGAGAAUAUAAUGAAGUAUUUCAAAGAAUGAAAUAUUUGAUAAUGGCAGGACACAAAUCAAUGGAGAGGGAAAACACUUUACAACACGUGGACUGAUUAACAGUUUGGAAAAAAUCAAUUUGCACAUUCAUCAUACACAUGCAAUAAAUUAGCAAAACUCAAACCAUAGGAAGUCUAAAGGGACUUGUUUUUAUAAGCUUAGAAUACUGUAACUAAUUGCAAAGUGAAAGAUAAAAUAGAUUUGAUUAUAUUAAAACAGCAAUAAAACAAGCCACCAGUAGCCUAGGUACAAUUAUUUGAAUGUAAUAACAGAAAGGGUUAAUAUGAUUAUUGCACAGAAGAUCAUACAAACUCAUAAUAGCACUGCAACUGAGAACUCAUACAUGAGAUAAGAAUAGAAUCACAUUUCACAAAAGAUGAAAUAUAACACAUUUGCAAACAUACAAAAACAUCCAGUCUUACUAAUAAUCACAUGAAUAUACACUAAAACAAGAAUAAGUUAUACUUAGGUUUAAUCCAUUAUUUUUAAAUUAGUGUCAAGGACUUCUACUCUCAGCUGUUGCAGAUUAUUUUCAUUUAGAUCAACUCAUCCGCUGAAAGCAAGUAGAAAAGCUGAAUAAAAUCUAGCAAAUAUUUAUUUAAAGGCAUACCAGAGCUCUGAGGUAGAGAGGACUUGAAAGGCCAAGAACCCAGAGAGCAGGGAAUCCAAGAGAGAUCCCCUAUACAUAACUGCCUGUCAGAAGCAAAAGUGAAACAUCAUUUGACAAAGAUAUGAUCAUCCAGAGGCUCAAAUUAUUUCUAUGAUUUUUCACACACAAUGUGCGGCAUUUAAUAAAGUUACCAGGCAUACCAGCAGACAAGAUAAAAUGACCAAAAAUAGACCUACAGGAGAUCCAGAUACAGGAGUAACAGACUUUAAAAUAUCUGUGAUUAGUCAAUUAAAGAAAUUAGAUGAGAAGAUGGAGAAUUGCAACAGAUUACUGGUAGCUAUCAUGAAAAACAGAAAUUCUGGAACUGAGAAAUAAACUGAUAGAAAUUAAAAACUCAAUAGAUGAGUUUAAGAACAGAUUAGAAAAAGAUGAAGAACAGAUUGAUAAACUGGAAGACCAAAGCAAGAGGAAAUUUAAUGUUAGUAGCCAAAGUCAGCAAGAGGUCAUUGAAAAAUGGUUUCUUCUUACAUAACGAGUGGCAUAUAAGUCUGUAUAACACUUUUUGGAAAUACUUGGCAAUGUAAGUCAGAUAGUAGAACAAAAACUUUUAUAUCUUUUGACCCAAUAUUCUUAUCUCUGAGAAUAUAUUAUAAGGACAUAAUUUUUUUAUUGUGAAUUGCUUUAUGUAUGAAGAUGUUCAUUACAGACAUUUAUAAUAGUAAUAACUUUGUGCAGAUGAUGUUUUAAGUUCUUUUCUUCAAUUAAUGCAGUUAAUCCUCACAAAAACCCAACGAAGUGGAGAUAGUUGCUGUUAAUAUCUUCAUUUUACAGAUGAGAAAACUGGAACACUGACAGAUCAAGUAUCUUUCUCAAGAUUGCAUAGCCAAUGAGCAGAGGAGCAAGGAUUUGAACCAGGCUGUUGGCUCCACAGCCUACGCUUGAACCUGCUCUAGGCUGUCGGAAGCAACCUAAAUAGCUAACAACUGGAGAUUUGCUAAGGUGUUGCGGGCCUCUGCUCUCGUAAUACUUCAGCUACAGAACCCACGUGUGAACGCUCCUAGGCGUGUUCUAUUAUAACACUAUACCACUUGUUAAGACGGAUUCACCAUCUAAGUCACAGGCCAGCAUUUCACAAUUAGUGGUGAGUGGUCAAUUGAAGAACAAGAAAACAGUUCGGUAAUAAUGAAAUUCCUUUCCCCUUUUGGAAAAUGGGAUCUAAGGAUUCAACCAGCAAAUGGUGAAUCAAUGACAAGUCAAUAAUAAGAUGAGAGACUGUUACUAAAAGAUGAUCUCAAGAUUAUUACUUUACAAUAAGCUGAUUUCUUAUAUAGAUAAAUGCUGGACAAUCUCUUGUUGUCAUAGGGUAACUGAAGAUGAUUUCAUGUGUUCAUGUUGCCAC
ensembl:lncRNA